UGCUAACUUCAGCAGCAAUACACUAAAACUGGAAUGAUACAGAAGAAAUUAGCAUGGCCCCCACACAAGGGUGACACAUAAAUUCAUGAAACAUUCCAUAUUUUA